UCGGGAAUUUUGGGCAAUGGGCGAAAGCCUGACCCAGCAACGCCGCGUGAAGGAUGAAGUAUUUCGGUAUGUAAACUUCGAAAGAAUAGGAAGAAUAAAUGACGGUACUAUUUAUAAGGUCCGGCUAACUACGUGCCAGCAGCCGCGGUAAUACGUAGGGACCAAGCGUUGUUCGGAUUUACUGGGCGUAAAGGGCGCGUAGGCGGCAAUUCAAGUCAUCUGUGAAAUCUCCGGGCUUAACUCGGAACGGUCAGAUGAUACUGCUUUGCUAGAGUGCAGAAGGGGCAAUCGGAAUUCUUGGUGUAGCGGUGAAAUGCGUAGAUAUCAAGAAGAACACCAGUGGCGAAGGCGGCCAACUGGCACAUUUCUGACGCUGAGGUGCGAAAGCGUGGGGAGCAAACAGGAUUAGAUACCCAAGUAGUCCCUGAGCGGGCUGGCAAGGCGCAU
rnacentral:rRNA from 1 species